CCUGUCCGCCAUCUGCUGUUGAGAUACUGUAACGGUUCUCGUCUGAAAAGAGGACUUCUCCCACUGCUGGUGCUGUGCUACCCACUGAAGACGGUCCAGGAAACAAAGAAGAAGACUGAAAGGAUACCACUGGGAGUGCUUCAGUGAGGACCUCAGUGACCGUUCUCCAUCACAGUAGGUGCUCAGCGGAGGGGACUACCUCACCCUUGAGAGGCAGAAACAAGCCAAUCAUGCACUUACGAGAUGGACCUACACCAAGUUCCAGAUUACAAGGACUUGUUCCAAAGAUGGAAGAGUUCCAUAACGAAGCUGAAUUUCUAAAGGUUAUAUGGAAACACUUGUACUCGUCCUCCUCUAACAAGUCUGUUUGGCACUCUGCAUGCUGCAAAGGAGCACAAUAAAUGCGGUGAAUGUUACUCAGGAUCCUCAUGACAACUUUUACCCAUGCUCUGAAUUCAUGGACAAGGUCACCACCGCCUACAUCGUAACUCGGGGACUACAUUACUUCCAAAUGGAACACCUCACUUCUGUCCCAACGUCAAGUUACAUGGGUGCUGUUGGCAAUCCAUAUAAAAUGAUUGAUUAUUUUCUAGGUCAUGCAGCAAAACAGUUUGUAGACAAGCACGUCUUACCGGAGGUUCCUCAACAGCCAGGUCAUGGUCUCCAAAUCAAACACACUAGCCUGCAGGUACUGUGGAAAACUGUACCAGAGACCAAAAGCUCUCCGCAAACACGAAGCAUCCGGAAUAUAAUGCUGAAAACAAUCAGGAUUCCACAUCUUCAGCAGAAUCAAGAUCAUCUAUUUAUCAGUACACCCGUCUGUCUCUCAUGCUUGGGCUUCUUCGAAUAAAUCACAACGAUUCCAUUCACAUGGGAGAUGGUGGCAGGCAUGAUGAGACUAGUAAAGUGGUUCUGUUUAUACUACAAGGCAAGCAAAUGUCCAAAGUAUGCAUAUGGUCUCCUUUGAAACACAGGCAAAGGCAUAUGCUCUCCUAUAUGAACGGCAGGCUUUAUAGAUUGAUAUGGAACCGCACAGUCAACCAUCAAGGCAGAGAAGACACCAAUCAUCCCAUCGACCUUGACUUGGAGCAUUGCAACAGGGCUUUCAAAGAUGAUGUACACACAUACAAGGGGAGGUACACAGAUAAAAGACGAUUCUCAAAGUCAGCAGAAGUGCGCUGUCAAUGGAAGAAUUAUGCCAAAAAUACGACAAAUUGGCAUUCCGCAAGAAAUGUUCGGGAAGGCAUGGAGUUGUUGAUCCUUCUUGGUGAUAUUCUUAAACUUGUAGAACAAUUCCAUUCCUAUGCAGCUCAAUUCAAUGAGGCCAACAAGCCACUGCCACAGAGAAAUCAAAAACAUGCUGAGUGACAUCCAAAAUUGGAUUUCAGAAAGUCUUAAAGUCUUCAGUAGCCGCACAUACUAUAACAUCUGAACCUUUUUUCCCGAUGUGUAAUUCAGUGUCACAUGAUUAAAACGAGACCCUGUUGCAAAGUCGCUAUCACUGUAUGUUUCAUGAUCUUCAUGUUCUGAGUCUGAGUGAGAUGAUGAGCUAUCACUCGAGUCAAGGGAAGUUUUGUACAACUCAAGAAUAUCACAUCUACAUUCACUACAUGGGGUAAUUGCAUGUCCAUGAGUCUCUGCAGUCACAGAGACACUUGCAAGAUAUGGCACAGUUGUCCAUAGCACUCAUGACUUCAGUAAAGCUCAACUCGUCGACAUACGUUGGUUCUGACAUACUGUUUCAUUUCAUCCGAAAUAUUCCGCCUGCCACUGAGACAUCGUCUAAAUUUCAUGAGAAGAGCAUGUGCCUGCUUUUCUGGAUCCCUGCCUGCUCCGUCCUUGUCUCUUGAAUAUAAUCCUCAACAUUAUUGGCUGGACCAUAGUGGAUGACGGUUUCCACACUUUGUAAGUCCCAAGCUGAAUGGUGUUGAGCAAUGGACUAUCAAGGGACUAUCAUCCUCUUGAAACCAUUUGGAUCCAUGAAGGACUCUGACACACUUCCCUGUUUUCCUUCUCAUUCAUACAUAUUCUGUAUGUUGUUAUGCAUGAUUGAUGUUGAACUUUAAUUGAAACUUUAGCUUGAAAAUUGGCCGAUUUCUUUUAUGAAAUUUAACUCCUAUUAUAAGAAUAAGAUCAACAUAUGCAAAAACAAUUGUUGUUAGAUGAUUAUUUUUUUGUAACCGAUCAACAAGAUCAACUUUAGUGUUUUAGUGUUUUAACUUAGCUAAUGUAAUGUAAUACAGUGGAUGUAUGCAUUCCUUUUUCAUAAGGGCAUUAACAUAUAUUACAUAAUGCCUCUACCUGGGACUGCGGCCAAACUUACAAAAUUAACCCUUGUUUGAGAGUAACAAGUAUCAAGUUCAUGAUGAUUGUAGAAGUGAUUGUAUGUAUUCAUAAAUGUGACACAUGCACAUUUUGAAAUGUUAAUAUUUGUGCUUUAACUUUGAUUUGAUGAAUAUCAAAUUAGAUAUUGUAUACACUUUAUAGCUACUUGUGAUCAGUGCACAUUUUUAUACCUUUAGAUUGUGCAGUUUCAUAGUGGUUAGUAAGAAUAUUUUGUGAAUUUAUACUUGUUUUAUCACAAAACAUGUGAAUGAGUGAAUGUCGUCUCAUACUGCAGUCAGCAAUAUUGCAGCCAUAUGAAGGCAGCCUGUAAACCAGUAAUUGAUACGCACACCAUCCUAGUACAUAAAACAUUCGCUCUCCAUGCCUAUUUAUGGUGUCCCCGUCGUGAUUUUGCUGGGAUAUUGCCAAAAGAUGCGUAAAUCCAUGCUCUCUCAAUUCAACAUGCCAUGCCUUGACAGACAAAACGAAAUACAAAAUAUAACAUUUAUACUUACAAUUUUGCAAUGCAGUGUGCUUCAUCAAUGAAAAUUGCCAUCAAAAUCUUCUCUUUAGUCAGGCUGUGUUCCAAGAACUGUCUCUGGACUUGCAAAUAUUAUUAUGUCAGUGUCAGGGUGAAAAAACCGUCACAGUAGCAUGGUUGGAGUUAUUAAGUUUCUUAAACACGAAUGGUGCUAAUUCAAAAGUAAGUGAUUUUCCUGAUCCUGUUGGAGAAAAAAAAGGACAUCCUUUCCUCUGAGGUAACUUACAAUCACUUGUCUUUGAUGAUUCCUGAAGUGAUCAAUUAUGUAACUGCAUUACCUUCCAUACCAACAGUUAUACAUGUAGUUAAGUUAAAUAGAGGGCGUAUAUACUUAAAACACAACAUCAAUCCUUUGUUCCGUUCAGCAGUGUGUCAGAUUCGUGAUGGCUAGCUUGAGGUGGCUAGACUUGCUUUUUGUAUGCAUUACUAGAUUCUUUUUUUAAAUGAAAUAAAUAUAUUCCACGGUCAUUGGUGCAGGACUAAUUGUGUAUAUCACCUGAAUUUUGGUCAAUACCUGAAAUACUCAGUCGCCAAUACAGCCCCUAUUUCAUAUAAGGUUAUGAAAAUACAUGUCGGUUGGAGCCUGAAGCCUGAAGUAGAAUUUAGGUUAUUACACGGAUGAUAUACAUGUAAGGCCGAAAAUUGAUGAACUUCUUUAUUAUGAAGAACACAAUGUUUGGGACUAAUAUCAUUAGUUGAAGGAGUAAGUAUUACACCCAAACGUUCUGUUCCACACAAUGCGUUUCACUUCUGAAUGUUUUUCUAAGAGUUGAUACAUACACUUGCCUUGUAUAUAUGGUUGAUGCACGUCGAGUGUCUCAGAAACGCGGGAUCUGCAGGUAUUAGAGCUGAAUACAGUUGUGAUUUGACGAAUUCUUUUUCUUUUGACUCUUCCUCUUAUUUCGUUUUUCAGCUUAGCAUUGUGUAUACACAACGUAAUUAACGGAUUCUGACAUCAGCCACAUAUCUCGGAACCACCCCACGAGUCUCUCUUAACCGUUCAAUUAACGUUCCGCUUGGUGUUGCCACACCUGUCCGCCAUCUGCUGUUGAGAUACUGUAACGGUUCUCGUCUGAAAAGAGGACUUCUCCCACUGCUGGUGCUGUGCUACCCACUGAAGACGGUCCAGGAAACAAAGAAGAAGACUGAAAGGAUACCACUGGGAGUGCUUCAGUGAGGACCUCAGUGACCGUUCUCCAUCACAGUAGGUGCUCAGCGGAGGGGACUACCUCACCCUUGAGAGGCAGAAACAAGCCAAUCAUGCACUUACGAGAUGGACCUACACCAAG